GUGCUCACUUUGGCAGCACAAAUACUAAAACUGGAACAAUACAGAGAAGAUUAGCAUGGCCCCUGCGCAAGGGUGAACCAUGCACUAAACUAAAUUCGAAAUGGAU
rnacentral:snRNA from 1 species